CGUAAGUAAAUUAAGUAAGAGUAUUUGGUGGAUGCCUUGGGUCUGAAAGUCGAUGAAGGACGUAUUACCUGCGAUAAGCUUCGGGGAGUUGGAAAUAAACUAUGAUCCGGAGAUUUCCGAAUGGGGAAACCUACCUGAUUUAUCUCAUGUUAUCUAUAAGUGAAUACAUAGCUUAUAAGAAGGGAACCUAGGGAACUGAAACAUCUUAGUACCUAGAGGAAAAGAAAAUAAUAAUGAUUCUGUUAGUAGUGGCGAGCGAACACGGAACAGGCCAGUGGCUUCAAAAAAAUAACUAAAACAACAUGGAAAGGUUGACCAUAGAGGGUGAUAGUCCCGUAUAGGUAAAAAGUUUGAAGUCCUGAGUAGGGCGGGACACGUGAAACCCUGUCUGAAUCUGCCGGGACCACCCGGUAAGCCUAAAUACUACCAAGUCACCGAUAGUGAACUAGUACCGUGAGGGAAAGGUGAAAAGAACCCCGAGAGGGGAGUGAAAUAGAAUCUGAAACCAUAUGCUUACAAGUAGUCAGAGCACGUUAAAGUGUGAUGGCGUACAUCUUGCAGUAUGGGCCGGCGAGUUAUGUUAAUAUGCGAGGUUAAGUCGAUAUAGAUGGAGCCGUAGUGAAAGCGAGCCUUAAUAGGGCGUUUAGUAUGCAGUAGUAGACACGAAACCGGGUGAUCUAGCCAUGAGCAGGUUGAAGUUAGGGUAAAACCUAAUGGAGGACCGAACCAGUAUUCGUUGAAAAGACUUUGGAUGACUUGUGGCUAGCGGUGAAAUUCCAAUCGAACCCGGAGAUAGCUAGUUCUCCCCGAUAUAUCUUUAAGGAUAGCGUUAUGUGAAUUGUUGUGGAGGUAGAGCACUGAAUGAGCUAGGGGGUCCCACAGACUUACCAAACUCAAUUAAACUCCGAAUGCCAUAACUUGUGCAUAGCAGUCAGAACAUGGGUGAUAAGGUCCAUGCUCGUGAGGGAAACAGCCCAGAUCGUCAGCUAAGGUCCCUAAGUGUAAACUAAGUGUGUAAGGAUGUGGAACUGCACAGACAGCUAGGAUGUUGGCUUAGAAGCAGCCAUCAUUUAAAGAGUGCGUAACAGCUCACUAGUCGAGUGAUUCUGCGCCGAAAAUGUACCGGGGCUUAAGUCAUGUACCGAAGAUGCGGGUUUAUGCAUUUGGCAUAAAUGGUAGCGGAGCGUUCCGUAAGCCUGCGAAGGUGAACCGUAAGGUUUGCUGGAGGUAUCGGAAGUGAGAAUGCUGACAUAAGUAGCGAUAAAGAAUGUGAGAAACAUUCUCGCCGAAAGUCCAAGGGUUCUUGCGUAAAGUUAAUCUGCGCAAGGUUAGUCGGCCCCUAAGAUGAGGCUGAAAGGCGUAAUCGAUGGGAAUCAGGUUAAUAUUCCUGAACCUGAAGGAUGUGACGAAAAUAGUAAAUUGUAUAGUCUUAUUGGAUUGAUUGUGCAGUGAAUAUUUUCCAGGAAAUAACACCUUCAUUAUAGACCGUACCCGAAACCGACACAGGUGGACAGGUAGAGUAUACCAAGGCGCUUGAGAGAACGAUGCUGAAGGAACUAGGCAAAUUGCAUCUGUAACUUCGGAAGAAAGAUGACCUGUAUAUGGGCAACCAUGUGCAGGUGGCACAAGCUAGGGGGGGCAACUGUUUAACAAAAACACAGCUCUCUGCUAAGUCGCAAGACGAUGUAUAGGGGGUGACACCUGCCCAGUGCCGGAAGGUUAAGAGGAGAAGGGUCAGCAAAGCUUUGAAUUGAAGCCCCGGUGAACGGCGGCCGUAACUAUAACGGUCCUAAGGUAGCGAAAUUCCUUGUCAGGUAAAUUCUGACCCGCACGAAAGGUGUAAUGAUCCCUUCGCUGUCUCGGCUGCAGACUCGGUGAAAUUUUAGUACCGGUGAAGAUGCCGGUUACCCGCAACUAGACGGAAAGACCCCGUGGAGCUUUACUAUAACUUGAUAUUGAAAUUUGGUGUAACGUGUAGAGGAUAGGUGGGAGACUAUGAAGCGAAGGCGUCAGUUCUAGUGGAGUCAACCUUGAAAUACCACCCUUUUGGUUCUUGACAUCUAACCGAGAUCCUUGAAUCAGGAUCCGAGACAGUGUCUGGUGGGUAGUUUGACUGGGGCGGUCGCCUCCCAAAAAGUAACGGAGGCGCUCAAAGGUAUCCUCAGUAUGGUUGGAAAUCAUACAUAGAGCGCAAAGGUAGAAGGAUGCUUAACUGCGAGACUUACAAGUCGAACAGAUACGAAAGUAGGACUUAGUGAUCCGGCGGUCCCGAGUGGAAGGGCCGUCGCUCAACGGAUAAAAGUUACCCCGGGGAUAACAGGCUUAUCUCCCCCAAGAGUUCACAUCGACGGGGAGGUUUGGCACCUCGAUGUCGGCUCAUCGCAUCCUGGAGCUGUAGUCGGUUCCAAGGGUUGGGCUGUUCGCCCAUUAAAGCGGUACGCGAGCUGGGUUCAGAACGUCGUGAGACAGUUUGGUCCCUAUCUGUUGUGGGCGUAGGAAAAUUGAAGAGAGCUGUUCCUAGUACGAGAGGACCGGAAUGGACGCACCCCUGGUGCUCCUGUUGUCACGCCAGUGGCAUAGCAGGGUAGCUAUGUGCGGACAGGAUAAUCGCUGAAGGCAUCUAAGCGAGAAGCCCCCUCAAAGAUGAGUAUUCCUUAUGAAAUUCCUUGUAGACUACGAGGUUGAUAGGUUGGAAGUGUAAGUGUAGUAAUACAUUCAGCUGACCAAUACUAAUAGCUCGAUUGAUUUACUUUGCUGUGAGAUUACAUAUGCAUA
rnacentral:rRNA from 2 species